CAAUCCUUCCACCAUCACAAUCACCAACAAAUACCCUUUUCAAAGUCACAAAUGUAGUUUAUUCAUCAGUAACUGAAUCCAAAAAGUGAAUGUCCCACAGUCACAAUGCUGAAGAAUAGGGCUACCUACUUUUGAAAAGGGCUUUUAUGUGUUUGACAAUAAUUAAAAGUAUUCGACUUGGAGUUUAUUUCCCCCCCAAAAAAAUCAGAACGUACACUGAGAAAAUAAGUUAUGAGGUAUGUCAACAACAAAACUAUUCUGAGAGGGUGGGGUUUGUUAUGCUUGUGCCGUGGCAACUACCAAUGAGAGGAGCGUAUUUGAAAUACGUCAUGGAGCGCCACCUUCGAAAUGUCCUAUUUGACUUGAACUCAGCUGAUCGUUACUGAACUACCUGGAUCUCAAGCCUUGCCUACUUUUUACACGACUGUGGCUAAUAAGAUUUAAAGAAAAGAGAAAAUGAGCUCUGGAAAAGCACUGCAGUCGGUGUCUCCUCACUACAACCAACAGCCACCGACACCAAGCCUGGCGAAAAGAAAGACAAUUCAAGAGAAGUAAUACACUAUACCUAUGCGAGAAUGCUGAUCAUCGACUACAACUCAGCGUUCAACACCAUAGUGCCCACGAAUCUCAUCACUAAGCAAAUUACUCUGGGACUAAACACCUCCCUCUGCAACUGGAUCCUGGACUCCCUGACAGGCCGCCCCCAGCUGGUCUGCAAUAAGGAGUCCAACAGACAAUGUGAUGUCCCCAUGUACAAGACAGCUCAUGAAGAAAGCUAUCAAGGACAUACCGUCAUCUCCCAGACCCAGACGGGAAGCAAAAGAGAACACUGCAAAUAAAUGAAUUACCUUUUUAUGUACAGUGUGAUGUCUUUACGGUAUUCCUCUCUCUGCUAAGAUGGGCAGAUAAAUUAAUCAUUGACAUUUUCCUGACAUUCUACCGUCUUUUUAAUAUGUUCUUACUAACCAAGCUGCUCACACUUUAUUGAUCCAUUAUGCAAUGUGGUGUAUAUGGGGGGGGGUUAUAUUCUUCAUUUAUAUGGGGGUUAUAUUCUUCAUUAAUAUGGGGCUGUUAUAUUCUUCAUUAAUAUGGUGUAUACGGGGGGGUUAUUCGUCAUUAAUAUGGUGUAUACGGGGGGUUAUUCUUCAUUAAUAUGGUGUAUACGGGGGGUUGUUCUUCAUUAAUAUGGGGGGGGUUAUAUUCUUCAUUUAUAUGGGGGGGGUUAUAUUCUUCAUUAAUAUGGUGUAUACGGGGGGUUAUAUUCUUCAUUAAUAUGGUGUAUACGGGGGGUUAUAUUCUUCAUUAAUAUGGUGUAUACGGGGGGUUAUAUUCUUCAUUAAUAUGGUGUAUACGGGGGGGGUUGUUAUAUUCUUCAUUAAUAUGGUGUAUGCGGGGGGGGGUGUUAUAUUCUUCAUCUAAAUCGCACUGUUUGUGUUAAUCAUUGGUUUUCUUGUGAAUGUAUAAUGCUAUUUGCACUUUAGAGGACAUGUGCUGUUCAUUGUACACUGCUUUAAGUGGUGGGGGUGUUAUAAUCUCAAACAAGUGUUCUGUAUAUAUGCCCUUUGCACAGGUAGACUUCCAUGGUUUAAAAAAAGUAGACUACUUUAUAUUCUGUUUGUACAUUGGCUUUAUGUUGCUCAGUUUUCAAUAUGUAACUAGCAAAAAAGGACUUGGCUCACUGCUUUCAAUAAACAUAUUUGAAAUGGAAGAGAUCACUUGUGUGACU
rnacentral:lncRNA from 1 species